CUUACGUCACCGGGUGCCAUUUCCGCGACCAAGCGUUCCCAUGCAUUGGAUAGGCCGAUAAGGUUCUUGCGUUUUAAGCGAGUGCCUGCGGUUCGCCGAAGUACCUGAUGGUCCACAGACAGCAUUCUGUACGAUGGAGGAGCCAUCUUGACCUGAACUCUGCCUUUCUGGGACCAACCUCAGGCGUGCCUCACUCGAACCACAAUCGUCAAGACACUGUAGCUGCCGACAUGCUUUGUCUUUCUCUUGGCGCUUCCACACUGCCGGUGACAUGACCUGCGAGACGUCCUGUACCCGUGAACGCAGCCUACGGCCCAUGGGGAGCUAACUGGGGGAUCGUCCACCUUCGAUGUGUGAUGAGCGGAAAGGAUCCUCACCUGGGGCCAACGGCAUUGCGUAUCAGCCCAUAGCCUGCUUAGGGGCUGCGUCGCGUGAAAAACUGCUGUGCUUUCUUAAUGACUCCUGGAGAACU